rnacentral:tRNA from 1 species
ACAUCUUUAGCUUAAUUGGUUAAAGCUCUUGUCUUCGAAACAAGGUAGUAAAGGUUCGAGUCCUUUAAGAUGUA